UACGUAGGGUGCGAGCGUUAAUCGGAAUUACUGGGCGUAAAGCGUGCGUAGGCGGUUCGUUAAGUUCGUUGUGAAAGCCCCGGGCUCAACCUGGGAAUGGCAAUGGAAACUGGCGGGCUGGAGUAUGGCAGAGGGGGGUGGAAUUCCGCGUGUAGCAGUGAAAUGCGUAGAGAUGUGGAGGAACACCAGUGGCGAAGGCGACUCUUUGGCCUGUAACUGACACUGAGGCGCGAAAGCGUGGGGAGCAAACAGG
rnacentral:rRNA from 1 species